AUAGGUGUGGAAGGAAUCUAUGCGGUCAGUGGCGAAGUAGUCACAACUUCAGCAAAAUUGUAUGCCGGGGUGAAUGAAACUUACGAAGUCCUUAUACCCCAGCACUGAUGUGGCUCUGAAGAUGGAGAGUAGUAUGCCUGGCAGAAGUAGGCACUGGGGGAGUGUUCGGAGAUAGAAACAGAAGAGUUGUGCUGUCAAGCAGAAGACUGGGGACGAGGAAUAGCAGAGUGCAGGCUUUGGGGCUAUACCAAAUAAUCUCUGGAAGAAUACAUGAGAUCAAAGUUAAGGAACUGGAGAGAUAGGGGUAGUCACUUGAAUUUGCUUGAAGAUUCCCAAAUACUGCAGAGAUAGUCUCAUCCCAAAUGGAAAAAGGAAGCAUUAACUUUUGGUGAUUAGAGAAUCAAAAAGGUCUUUAUUAUUUUUUGCUGAAUCUUUAUGAAAGUCCUUAGCAGAGUUGAUAAAGCCAGCUGGUGGAAAUGACUGAGUUGUUACAGGGAUGGAAAAGAAAUUUGAUCUGAAUUUUGAAAUUCAGUGAAAAAUCUGACAAAGUUUUGAAAUCCCAGUAAGAUAUAUCAUGAACAUGACAGUUCUCAGGAAUUCCAGCAAGCUUGCAGUCAAGGAACAGUCCUCAGUGAGGCAGGUGACAAAGUUUUAAUGUGAUUUUAUUUCUUGCCUCUUCCCCCUUUCUGAGUGAGUGAGUCUUUAUGAACUAAACUAGCAAAGCUUUCAGAUUUGGAGCCUUCCCUGUGCUAGUGUAUUGGUAUUUUUUUUGUAUUUGGGACACAAGAAGAGUCACUUAGGUAUCAUGGUCUAUUUCUCGUAACAAGGUAGUGAAGAGAUUCAAUAGAGGUUGUGGAUUUGAUAGAUGUGGGAGAGAACACCUUCUGGAUGCUUUUUUAAAAUCAAAGUUGCUUCAUCUUGCUUUUGUUUUAAGGAACAGAACAUAUAACCAGAAAGGUUUUAUCUAUUAUAUUUAUGUCAAAAACUUCCAAAUCUUCCCAGCACCUUUCCUUUCUGUGGGAGAGCAAAGGGAGUUUGCAUAAGAUCAGUCAGUCAGACAGGAAUGCUAAGACAAACUAGAUAAUGAUGAAACUGAUGUCUGAAUUACCCUUGAUAAUGUUAUCAGGUUAAAAGGAAGGAUACCAGUCACCUUUGCAAGCUCUUCCUGAAUGUUUUCCCAGAAGAAUGCGUGAUCUGCAGUGGAAAGAAAAAAGUAAGCAAGCUGUUUAAGGCAAGUGAGGUUGGAAUCAGAACUAUUAGAUAAUAGAUUUUGUGUAAUUUAUUGUUUUCAGUAUAUUGGAUUUACUGUCUUAAAUUAAUCUUUCAACUGACAUCACUGUAACAAGGGAGUGGUACUGGCAGUAAGUGAGGCCAACUGACUUAGGUAUUAGGGCUAGAGUCAAGAGUCAGAACAAGACUAUGGAUCCAAACAAAAGGCUCUGGGGUUGUUUAAAGUGUGAAGGUCAGCUUUUAAUACAAACAAGAAACCCUGAUCAAAAUAGAUCCCAUAGAAAUUGACAAAUUAUUUACAAGAGCUAUCUCACCUUUAUUUACUGUUAGCUCACUUUCACAUCAGAUUUGUUACAUUUUCAAAAUGAGCCAACUCUUUUUGCUUUUUUGUGUGCUUUAUAUUAGUAGUCAGGGAGGAGGGCUUUAGAGUUCUUUGGAUAAUUUAUAGCAAAUAAUAUUAUUUAGUGUGAAUAGAAAAAAAUUAAAGAAUUCAAUAAUAAUAUAUUUACCAUAAAUAUCUCUAAUUAACUAAGUUCUAGUAAAUGUUUUAAAACCACAAUAAUUAUAUAAACUUUGGAUCAGAACUCCUUGCUGAAAAAAAACAAAAGUCAAUCAUCUUAAUGAGUUUUAGUUUUCUCUGUAACUGGAACAGAGAAUAUAUAUUGCUAGUUCCAUGAAUGGCAGAGACCAUUACUAUUGUAAUUUUAAAAUUAUUUUAUUUAAAUGAAUUAGAUUAUGCAUGAAAGAUUUUGCCACUGGUAGCUGGGAAGCAGAUACAUUUUGAUUAUCACAACUUGUAGCUCUAAACACACAAGCUACAAUAAAAACAUUCAAGUCAAAAAAUAAAGAUUGACUGAAUUGCUGAAAUCACUCUUUAAAAAAUAAAUUUUUAGACCAAUUUAAAUUAGGAAAGCUUCCUGCUCCCAGAUGGACAAGCUUGGCAAAGCAGGAAUAAUAAUAAAACAAAAUAAAAAAUAGAUGCAACAACAAUUCGUGCAAUUGAAGGAAUAAAUUGUAUCUAAGCUACAAAAUAAUAGACUCCAACCCAGCAAGCACUUAAACAUAUGCUUAAUUGUAAACAGGUGAGCAGUUCAUCUCUAACAAGACAACUGAGAAGUGAAAUGCACUUAUGGGGCUGAGGCCUAAGAUAGAUAUUAUUGGCUAGAGUAUUAAUCAAUUAAGAAAGCGAUAAUAAAUCGAUGGUAGUAAGUACAUUUUAAAUACGUGUGAUUGUGCUAUUGCUUUUGACGAAUUUGUUUCUUUCCUAUGAAAUGUGUAAAUGAAUCAUACUGUCACCAAGGAGAUGGACUACAGGUAGGUUUCAUAAUCCACCUGGCUGCCUUAACUUUAGCUAUUUAAGCUCUUCAUCUGAUCUCCCUCUGUAGCUAAGGGGGAAGGGAGACGUUUCUGUUUUACCUCUUAUCAUCCUUCUGAGGUACUGAUUUAUUUCUUCACAAUAAAAGGAGCCUAAGUGACUCAGCUUAAAUGAAACUAGAUAAAUAUAGCUGGUUAUAGCCAGGUGCAAUGAAACAUCCUAGGGUCUAUUGUUAGAAUGAGACAACUAUGUGCAUACUGAACUUUAUGACUCUCAUUGCAGGAGAUCGAUAUAAGCACCAAGUUAUAUUUCUUUUAAUUUCAGUUGUGCAGAAUCUGUUGCCAACAGCUCUUAAAAGGUUAGACAGCUCUGCCUCACAAUGACACAAAGUAGAAAGGAAUAUAAGCAUUAGGUUUCUAGCCUGCAUGUUUGUCAUUAUGUGCAGUCCUGUUGG